rnacentral:rRNA from 1 species
UACGGAGGGGGCUAGCGUUGUUCGGAAUUACUGGGCGUAAAGCGCACGUAGGCGGCUUCGCAAGUCAGAGGUGAAAGCCCGGGGCUCAACCCCGGAACUGCCUUUGAGACUGCGUCGCUCGAAUCCGGGUGAGGCGGGUGGAAUGUCGAGUGUAGCGGUGAAAUUCUUAGAUAUUUGGAAGAAUACCAGUGGCGAAGGCGGCCCGCUGGACCGGCAUUGACGCUGAGGUGCGAAAGCGUGGGGAGCAAACAGG